rnacentral:lncRNA from 1 species
UUCACUCUCUCGGACAUUCCAGAGAGUUCUCUCAACUUCUCUUUCUCUCACUGUAUCUCUCACUAUUUUGCCUUCAAUUUGUGUGUUUUCAUGGUAUCAGAGCGGGAUGGUCCUUGGAUUCUUCUCCGUUAGUUGUUAUCGAUCGUGUUGGAAGUUUUAUUAAAGGUUUUUUUGGAUAUUUGUGAGAGAUUCUGUUUACCGAGAGAACGAUGUGCAUUGAACGGAUAAUCGGAACUUUUACUGCUGUUUAAUGCUUCGAUCUUCACUCAGUGGAUGUUUUGCGUGAUUUUCUCACAUCCCUGACUUUUUUCCGGUGACUUUCCAGAUUCUAGGGUUUCUGGUGGUUGGACCUAGGGUUUUACUGCUAUCCGAUUGCUCGAUCCUCACCCGGUGGAUGUUUUGAGUGAUUUUCUAACGUCUCUGACUCUAUUCCGGUAAGUUUCCAGACCCUACAGUUUCUGGUGGUUGGACCUAGGGUUUUAUCUGGCAAUUGAAGGCCGUUCUUCUCCGGUCGCGAAGAAGGAGGGUAACUCUAUCCCUGUUCUAAGUGUU